rnacentral:lncRNA from 1 species
CCAAAUCCUCAUCUUUAGGGGCUAAGAUAUCGAAUGAGAUAAUAAAUAAGUAAAAGGUAAAUAUGAGGGAUACUGAAACAAAAGUAAACCUAAAACUAUAAGGAUAAAGAACAUUUUUUCCCACUACUAAGAGUAGCAUAAGAUGUAAUUGCAAUUGAUGAUGCAUGCAUUAUUUGUCUUUCAGAUUGCGCAAGUGAUGACCAUGCUUCAUCCCUUUCCUUUUUAAGUCUAGCAAUUACAUGACAAGCAGCAUCAUGUUGAGGACAAAUCAAUAUGCUAAGGUCAGUGAGUUGCUCAAGUGAUGAUUUAAUUACAAUUUGUAGGCUAUAGUCAAACAGAAGAAGACAUAAAGUGUACAUGUGUAAUUCUAUAGAGAAAAAAAAACUAAAAUUUGCUAAGGCUCAAUGCGUAUUUUCAGGAUAAAUACAUUUUAUAGAGAUAACAGCAAGCCUAUAAACUAAUUAUCUAUAAAAUCAAAUUAUUUAGCAACAAGCUCAUCUUUCCAUUAACUUCAUCUAGCACAAUGCAGUAUGUACAUCAAUACAAUCAAACAGAUGAUAUGUAUCAUAUACACUAAAUGCCGAAUAUAAAGAGAUAAUUUGUGAAUUAAACUUUAGCAGGCAUAACAUCAAGUGCUAUUACCUGGUACAAUGCAUUGGCUUAGCUCUUGCCUUGCUAUAUGAUGUUGUUACUCCAAAGCAAAAUUAGAUAGCAUCAGACCAUCCCAUUCCUACAAUUAGACAAACAAUGUAACUGUCAGGAAAUAUAAUAAAGAAUCACAUAUUAAAAUGUAAAAUUCAAUAUCAAUUAAAAUUGUGAAUUUGAAGAAGUGUCACUAAGAAAUCAGCAAUAUUACAGUUAGAAAAAAUGAUAAAAGACAUUAAAUUAUGUUUACAUGAUUAUCAUUAUUUAUAAAAGAAGUAUUUACUUUUCAAAUGAAAAAAAUUAAAAGAGCACAGAACAAGGGAUCUCAAAACAAAAAUCUUAUAAUAGCUCUAUCUUGCAAAAUAUACUGGAUAAAUCUAGCAUAAGAAUAGUUGGCAAGAAAACUCUAAAACAAAAUAUCCAUGUUCUACAUUCUAAAUUAUUAUAGAAUAAAGAGACCUAAUGAACACAAAAACAAUAUGAUAUUAUAAAUGAAAAACAUGGGCUAAAAUCUGGAAAACAUGUUUCAUGCAAAGAAAAAGAUCACCAUAAAAAUCAGAGGUUAUUACAUGCUGAUUGAAUUGGAAUAUAAUCUAAGCUUUUACUUGGCAAGAAUUUGGUAAUGUGCUAAAGCACAAGUUCAUGAAAAAACAUAUGAAGUCAAAAGUCAAAUUCUUUUUAAGUACUAACAAAUUAAAAACUCCUUCCAAACAAACUUAAACAUUUAACACAGCAGACACAAGGCAAUAAAUCAUAAUCACAUACAUUUUGGAACAUUACAAGCAUCCCACGAAUGCUAGCAGCCAUCAAUGGUCUGGGCUUCUUAAACUUCAUGGCAAGCCAUUAAGCAAAAGACAAAAAUUAUCAUGCAAGAUUACAUUAAAUAAUGAUGACGAAAACUUCUAACAAACCAAGAAAAGCAACCAUCAUAAAUUUCUAUAACCAUUUUCUCCUAAAUUAUGUAGAGAAAAAUAGUAAUUUAACUAUAAAAAUUUGUAACACACAUUUAAUCAAAUACCUUCUCCCGUAUUAUGUAGAUAAAAAUAAAAUGUUAACUAUAUGAAUCUCUAAUAGACAUUUAAUCAAGCACCUUACAUGUGCAAAAAUCGUUCAAAAUUGUAAACCAAUUAUACAUGUUAAAUCUUCAAUUGACAUUCAAAUUUUCCCAAAUCAUGAUUUCUUAGACAAGAACGAGUAAAAUUUACAAGAUAAUUGAACAUGACAAUUUCAAGAAAAAGCCAAACCCUAACCAUCACAACAACCACGAGCCACCAUUACCUUACCCCUCCACAACAAAUCCAAUACCAUGCAAAUCAAACCCAAUCAAUUUUUGCACCAAAAUCCCAUCAAUUUUACUAUUUAGAAAACUAAACCCACAAGUUUUAAUACAUACCUGAUGUCAAUUUUAAUUUUACAAAAAUCAGCAACCUUACUUGGAUAUGGAUUGAUUCAUUGAGGAAAAAAAUUAAAAAAACCAAUUGUUUCUCACAGUGGAGGUAGAUCUGCUUGUGGAGAUGACGAAAAGAUGAAAAAACUGAAAAACAAUGUGAAACGAGAGAGCAAACAAGUGUUACAGCUUGAAUGGAGGAAGAAUGGUGGCAUUUUGAAUGACAAAAUAGUGGAGUUUUUAUGAUCUAUUAAGAUUGAAAUUUUAAUUCUAGGGUUUCAAAUGAUGAAAGAGAGAGGCAAAAUGGAGAACGUCCAACACUUAGACAAAAUUUGUGUGUUUUAAGCAAUCCUAUGGUAAAUUGUAGCCUUUUAUUCUUUUUGUUUUUAUUUUUUAAUUUUUAAAAAGGUGUUGUUUGAUUUUUUAAAUAAAAUAAUACAUUAAAAUUUGGUCAAACACAAUCAAAAUCAUAAUUCUAUCACAAUUUCUUGAUGUAGCAAAUUUCUAUCACGAUUCUAUCAUCAAUUCUUGAUAAAUAAUAAUUAUUUCACAAAAUCAUCGCUAAUGCAUGAUAGAACUAUAUUCUGUCACAAGUCCGUCAUGCUUUUAUGAUAUAUACGAUUUUACCCUGAAUCUGUCACAAGUUGUCUGUCAUCUAUUGUCAGUUUUCUUGUAGUGAACAAUUCUCAAAUUUUUUGGAGAAUCCAUAAUUAUCAUUCUGUCACUUCUAUAAUUAAUUUUCCAGCAACUUAAACAUCACCAAACCACAUGCUUAAAGCAAUAUUAGACAUGUAAAACAAACAACAACCUUGCUUUUGAGUUUUGAAACAAAAAACAUCACCAAAUCAUAUAACUUGAGAUAAUUAGAUCACUCUUAAGACUUUGACCAUGUUUGCAUUGGCAAAGAAUAUUAGUAGAACAAUUUUUUUCUUUUAAUAAUAUAAUGUUAUAAAUCUCAAAUAGUCUAUGUGUUCUUUGUUGGACCAAACAUGUGAUCAUGAUAUUUUUUGAACUUAAGUCUUAUUCAUAUCAGAACAACAUUUAGAUAAGCAUGUGCCAAGAAAAAUUCAGUUUAUGUAUUCUUCCAUAUGUUUUUCAUUUUUUUUUGGAUGUUUUUCAUCUUCAUUUGUUUAUGUUGCAGCAAAGGUAUUUAAGUCAUUGUUAAUUUGUACCUUGCAUAAAUGUAUUGGUAAUAUAUUCUGAUUUUUUAUUUAUAUUCUACCACCUUAAUGUGUCAGGAUCAGAUAUAAUUGAAACUAAAAAUGGAUAAGUCAUGGAUGCAUUGUAGUAAAAUGGCAAAAGAGUAUGAAGAUAGGGUUGAAACAUUUAUGAGGUUUGCUAUUACUAAUGCCGAAGGCAGUAGCGUCAUUAGAUGUCCAUGUACUAAAUGUAUGAAUAUAUCCUUUCAUACACAGAAGUGAAAUGAAAAUUAUGCAACCCAAAAGGGGGUGAAUUGGGAUUUUAAAUCUUGUGCUAAACAAUUCGCACAACAAUUUAAUCUAUUGCCUUAAUUAAAUAAAAAAUAAUAAAUUCAAUAAUGCACAAUAAUAAAAGAAUAAGGGAAGAGAAAGAAAACACAACAAUUUUUAUGUGGUUCGGCAAUCCCCGCCUACGUCCAUGCCUCCAAGCCAACCAAGCUUGAGGAUUUCACUAUCCAAGCCUCCCAAGGCUUCAAGUUCUUACAAUUGACUUCCAAGAUGUCAAUGAACUUUUACAAUCAAGAAAUUAUCUCCUCAAUCUCUUCACCCCAAGUGUUUCUCACACUUGUACACUCACAAUUUGAUGAGAAAUGAAAAUUACAACAAAAACUCUAUUUAAGAGUAGAUAUGCAAAUGAUAGCAUAAUAAUGAUUCAAUAAAUGAUGAUUUGUGAAAUAGAAGCUCAAUAUGUGUUAUAUGAUCUUAUUUAUGCUUGCAUAGACUUUUAAUUUAGCUAAGUUCUUCCUCAUUUUUGCAAGCCUAUUGCAUCAGCAUUCCUUCCAUGAAUUAUAAGCUUAUGGAAACCUACAAUUAUGCACACAAUUUAAGCACGAAUUACUUUAAAUUAAGCAAAACUCAUUAAAACUAAACUAAAAUAAAUAUUUAUGCAAAAUGUAACAAAAAUGCAAUAGAAUCACAUCAUUUACUCUCUAAGUAAUAUUAAUUUAAGUCUAAAAGUGCUAUGAUAACUCUCAUUUCAUAGAGUUAUCACACCCCCAAACUUAAACUAUUACUUGUCCUCAAGUAAUGACAACAACGCUAACACUUCAUUCACACAGUCAUGCAAGAAAUAACUUAGCUCUGUCAUCAAAUUUGCAAGAAUUCUUCCACCCUCGGAUGACAUUCUUAAUCACGCAAAAUAGCCUUAGCAGUUCAGUUUUAGACUUAGGCCUCAUUCUGUCCAAAGUGUGUGUGUGCCACUUUGAUCAAAUUCUAGAGGUGCUACAACAUUACAGAGACAUUGCAUAUAAUUCAAAGGUAGAACACAAAUAUAUUCACAUAAGGGGGAGCAGAAAUCACAAAUAUACUCAAACUGCGCUACAACAAUAAUAAUUUUUUUUUCAGUUAAACCCUUCAAUGCAACAUUGAGCUUUCAUGUGAAUGCCUAUCACUUGUAAUGACGACACCCAAUUACUCAUUCAAAGUACAUGUCAGAGUUGCUAUAGCAACACAUUCAGGAUGUUAUAUCUAGGUCUUACCUUUGGACGCCUUUGACUCAAGGCUGAACAUGGGGCUCAUAAACAGACCAGGUUACUCAGUAUCCUAGGCAGCGGACCUCUUUAUUUUUUAUUCCUUCAUCACAAUUUUUUUUGCUUUUUUUUUUUAUAUAUAAUUGCUGCAGCACUGCUCAUAGCUCUUGUUGCCUUUGGACUCAAGUUUGCAUAUGGGGUGCAUACUCAACCUUGGUUACUCAACAACUUAAACAAUUGGAGCAGAAUUUAUUUCAUAACAGGCACAGUCCAACAAAAAUUUUCCCCCAAACUUGAGAUAUUUUCUACUCUUUUUUUGGUUUUCCUGGCUCUGCUACAACAUUCUCAUAAAACUCAACCAAAGUCUAAGUGUCGGGACAAAAUUUCAACCUCCAUCUAUAAUUAUCUCUAUUUGGCAUUCUCAUAAAUACUGAAUAACACUCAAUUUAUCUUCAUUAGGUUUUCAAAUCCAUACACAAAUAUUAGAUAACAGAGCUUCACACAACACACAACACAAACAUAAACACAUGCACUCAGAAACACAACCCCCCCUCCCCCAAACUUGAGUGGUGUUGUGUCCUCACAAGCACACAAAACAAAACCACAUAAACCAGACAUGCAUACACUAAAUAAAAUGACAUGUAGAAUGAAUUAGAAAAUUAAAACUAAAUGAAAGAAAAGUUUUGCAGAAAGAAGUAAAUAAACUAGCAGCUAGGGGGGUGCUCCCCUGUUGCUGGAAGCACUGCUGCAGCAUAGGCUGUAAAGGGUCACUUCUUCUUUGAUCCACUUAUCAAACACUCCUUAUCAUAAAAUCUGAUUAAUCCAUUUGAUGCUGCAAAAGCAAGAAAUACCUCUGUUGUUUGAGAAUCUUCUGUUGUAUGUCAAGUCAAGUAUAGUUUAGUCACAUUUUGAAACAAUAAAACUUUCCAUAAUAGUCCAACCACUAUAAGAAAAUAGACAAUAGAUGACGGAAAAUAACUGUCAUAAAAGGGGGUUUAUGACAGACAUUUCAUCUGUCAUCUAUGUCAUUGUCAUUAAUAUAUGACAAAUUAUUUUCCGUCAUGAAUUCUUGAUGGCAUUUUACAAUCAUAUAUUUGUCACACAAUAUUUUAAUAUGAAAAAAUAAUUAAAUUAAAAUUUAAACUAAUUUAAAUUUUUACGCCAUAUUUUUAAUUUUUUGGUGGGAAAUUAAAUUGUCAAUUUGUAUAUUUAUUAUUAAUUUUCGCAGGAAAUUUUUUAUGACAGACUUUAUGAUGCGUAUUUCCCGUCAUACAUUAGUAUAAUUUAUUUUUGAAUUCUUGUUUACAAAUUUAAUUAAUUAAUAAAAAUGAAUAUCAUCAAAAAAAAGUAAAAACAAUUAAUAUAACAUCCAUUCAAUCCAACAAAUUAAUUUCAAAAUAAAUACAUCUAAUUUCAAAUUUCAUCACCAUCAUUACAAAAUAAAACAUCCCAAAUAAGAAAAAAAAACCAUACCAAAAUAUAAACUCAUAGUUAAAUUCCAAUUAAACACCAAGAAAAACAAUUCAAACUCCAUCCACCAAGCCAAGUUGCCAAACAAAACUUCCAAAGAUUAAUGAAAAUAUUCCAAUAGCAAGACUCCAGCAAAACUUCUAGCACCAAUACCAUCUUCCAAUAGCACUCUAAUACCAGCAUCAAAUAAGGUAAAAGUCACAGAUGAUACUUGUAUGAGCAAAACCAUCCAUAUUAACAAAGAGUACAUAUCGCCUUUUCUACUGCUGUAAAAGAGUCCCAUUAUGGGCUGCCAGCUUAGCAAUAAUCAAAACGUAAUUCCAGCAUAAAUUUUCUAUCCAGCAGGGCCCAAAUCCUCAUCUUUAGGGGCUAAGAUAUCGAAUGAGAUAAUAAAUAAGUAAAAGGUAAAUAUGAGGGAUACUGAAACAAAAGUAAACCUAAAACUAUAAGGAUAAAGAACAUUUUUUCCCACUACUAAGAGUAGCAUAAGAUGUAAUUGCAAUUGAUGAUGCAUGCAUUAUUUGUCUUUCAGAUUGCGCAAGUGAUGACCAUGCUUCAUCCCUUUCCUUUUUAAGUCUAGCAAUUACAUGACAAGCAGCAUCAUGUUGAGGACAAAUCAAUAUGCUAAGGUCAGUGAGUUGCUCAAGUGAUGAUUUAAUUACAAUUUGUAGGCUAUAGUCAAACAGAAGAAGACAUAAAGUGUACAUGUGUAAUUCUAUAGAGAAAAAAAAACUAAAAUUUGCUAAGGCUCAAUGCGUAUUUUCAGGAUAAAUACAUUUUAUAGAGAUAACAGCAAGCCUAUAAACUAAUUAUCUAUAAAAUCAAAUUAUUUAGCAACAAGCUCAUCUUUCCAUUAACUUCAUCUAGCACAAUGCAGUAUGUACAUCAAUACAAUCAAACAGAUGAUAUGUAUCAUAUACACUAAAUGCCGAAUAUAAAGAGAUAAUUUGUGAAUUAAACUUUAGCAGGCAUAAC